GGAGGCCCGGGAUUCUGGUGCUGAUCAACGACGCUGACUGGGAGCUCAUGGGGGAGCUGGGCUAUCGGCUACACGACAACGACAACAUCGUGUUUAUUUCUACGCUCCACGGAGGAUAAAACUAGAACCGUUCGAGGCUUUUCUCCACAUGCUGUGAACCGACAGCCCCCCCUCUGCGUGCUGCCACAUCCCAACAACGAGCCUCCUCAUUGGACGCUGAUGGUGUCGACGCAGUCCGACAGUUGAUGACGCUCAGCAGGAAAGAGAUGGAGAUCCAAGAAAAUAUAUUUAUUUUGGAUCAAACACACCAGCCCUGAAGGUUGGAUGUCAUCCUGAAGAAAAAAAGAAAACACUUCAAUCUUCCUUCCUCAUAAGUGUUUACAUUUCAUUAGUUCAUUUUCUUACAGAACAUGUUAAAAUACUGUAAGGGUGAUUAAACUUUGUUUUACAGCUGCAAAUAUUUCCAUUAAACCCUGAUCAUUUUA